AGAAAAGUAAGCUAAUAAAAGCUAAUGGGUUCAUACCCCAUAAAUAGAGUUAAACCUCUCUUCUCUA
rnacentral:tRNA from 1 species